rnacentral:rRNA from 1 species
CCUACGGGUGGCAGCAGUGGGGAAUCUUCCGCAAUGGGCGAACGCCUGACGGAGCAACGCCGCGUGAUCGAAUGAAGGCCUUCGGGUUGUACAGAUCUGUUGACAGGGACGAAUAAGAAAUGCGAAUAGUUUUGUGUAUGACGGUACCUGUUUAGAAAGCUCCGGCUAACUACGUGCCAGCAGCCGCGGAAAUACGUAGGGAGCAUGAGUUGUCCGGAAUUACUGUGCGUAAAGGGCGCGUAGGUGGGCGCUUAAGUCAGGUGUGAAAACUCCGGACUCAACCUGGGGACUGCACUUGAAACUGGGUGUCUGGAGGGCAGGAGAGGAGAGUGGAAUUCCUAGGGUAGCGGUGAAAUGCGUAGAUAUUAGGAGGAACACCAGUGGCGAAGGCGACUUUCUGGACUGUACCUGACGCUGAGGCGCGAAAGCGUGGGUAGCGAACGGGAUUAGAUACCCUAGUAGUC